CCUCUUCUCUCCCCUCUAUUUUAAAGAGCCUACACAUUGCUCUUAACUAAUUGUUCUUAAUAAUGAUUUCAUUCCCUUCCACUCAUCCAUAACUUUUCCCUCUCAGUCUCUUUUGGUUCAGAUAUGAAUAAAAUAUAAAAUAAAGAAUGAGUAUAAAGAGUAUUGCCGGAGUUAGCAUGUUUCGGUCCUCUUCCCCAUUACUUAGAAAAAGUGAGCCAUCGAUUCAGGUAUAAGAUACUAUCAUUACAGCCGGACAAUUAGACAUCCAACCCGUAAUCGCACAUUGAGUUCUUACAGUAACCAGGCUAUCAGUGUCACGAUCUCCAUAGUACGCUUCAUGUUCAUGGUGUCCAUGUUCAUCCCUAAUAUGAGAAAAAGAUACCAUAUUACAAGAUAAUUAUAAGAUGUGAAACAGAAUGUGCCAACAUAGUUAAAGAAAUUAAAGAAAUUAACAAAAACUACAAAGCGGCAUACUGAAAUUAAAAUAUAUUUACACAUAGCAGACUUGCAAUCUGGAAAUGUAUGUACCUGACAUCACUUCCUUUACGGAAUAUCCGAAUGGAAGGAUAGCCUUGUAUGUGAUUCCUGAAAAUCCACAACCAAAUUUUUUUUGCUGAAACCACAUUGACUCUAAAAUAUUGGCAAGGUCAUUAAUUUACAGGAUCUAAAGUCAUGUAUGUUCUAUAUGAACUUAUGCAAUACACCUAUGUUUUUCUUGGUUCAAGCUGCAGAAGCAACUCAAACAGUAUUGAACAAACUGUAAUAUCCCUUCUGUCUGCAGGGAUCCCGUCAGAUUAAGUUCUCCUUUUAUAUGGCAAUGGACUUUGUGUCUUUUGAUGAGCACAGGAAAUCCCCCUGUAUUGAGAUCAUCACGAAACACAUGUUUCUGGGUGUUCACCGGCAUGACCAAUAAAGGAUACUUUUAAUGUUUAACUGAAGCGAAGGUUCCGGUGUACAGAUAAAAUCAUUUAAGUAUGAGUAGAACUAGAUUAAUGACCUGCUGUAAUUUCAUUGAUGCCAUUAUGAUACCUAGAGUAUACAAUAUUUCUUCAUAAAUCACAUAUUCAACAAAAAGUAAAAAAUUAUUAGAUAGAAAAGUUAUGGAGAUAUCUUAGCCAAAAGAGUUUUCUUCUGUUUGCAGAUCACUUGAACAAACAAAAUAAUUACAAAGGAAGGGUAUCCUACAAAGCAGCAUAUAUGAUCUAGAGUAUCCAAUAACAUCAGUCAUUUAUUAAAGAGAAUCAGAAUGAAAUGUCACUUGAUAGACAAAUUUGCAAACAGAAAUUCAGUUACUUUCCAUAAUAUCUAUAAAUUAUAGAGAUACCUUCUACACAACUCAUUUUCUUCCGUGCAGUCAACCUUUCCCAAAAGAAUCCGUCCAUCCAUUUCUGGGUCAUAUCUGAAAACAAUUUGAUUACGAGUUCAACUAGUUAGCAUACUUCAUGCUAUAUAGAGAGCAGAGCUAAGCUACAUGCAACUAUUAAGCAUGGAUUAAAAAUUAAAAUAGUUAAUACACCUUUCCCUCAUGAUUUUUGCAGCUUUCUCCCAUGAAGGUCUCUGAAACAAGAAAAAUGAGAGGUAGGAUACAUUUAGAGAUGUAAAAUGAGUUCAUAAUUUAUUUUUUACUAAACAAGAGCUUAAAUUACAGAAGUAGACAGCUAUAAAACUGAUAGAUAAUUGGAUAUAAGCAAUAAAAGUGAAAACAAGACAGAUGAAGAUUGAAUAGAGCGAAAUUCCCAGUAAAAUAGCACCAAAAGGCUCUUGCUCUUGCUCUAGCAUUAUCACACUCACACAGGUGUCCCAGGUUUAUGCCUUGUCCUAGGCAAGGCAAGAUGGGGGUUAGUGGGUUCAAUUAGCCAAAAAAAAAAAGAAGCAAGCAGACUAUAACAUCCUUGAUUGCUCUUGAAACCAUAUCUGAAUGUCAAGUAAAAUAGAACUUUACAUGAUAGUAACACUCCUCUCAGGACUCAGGAUACCCAAAUUCUAAAGAGACUGCAAUUAGUUCUACAUCACGGUUUUCCCUUCUUGCAUCAAUUCAGGAAAAAUAAAAUAGAAGCAUAAAAUACUGCAUAAUAACCUGAAAGUGAGGAUUAAGAGCAUCUCUAAGAGGCUCUCUACAUAGGCUCUUAAGUUGAAAAUUAGAGAGCCAUGGUUCACAUAUAGCUCCAAGAGACUUUUAGAGGCUCUUUAUAAACUUAAAAGCCUCUUCUCUCCCCUCUAUUUUAAAGAGCCUACACAUUGCUCUUAACUAAUUGUUCUUAAUAAUGAUUUCAUUCCCUUCCACUCAUCCAUAACUUUUCCCUCUCAGUCUCUUUUGGUUCAGAUAUGAAUAAAAUAUAAAAUAAAGAAUGAGUAUAAAGAGUAUUGCCGGAGUUAGCAUGUUUCGGUCCUCUUCCCCAUUACUUAGAAAAAGUGAGCCAUCGAUUCAGGUAUAAGAUACUAUCAUUACAGCCGGACAAUUAGACAUCCAACCCGUAAUCGCAACGACCCAAUUGCAAAAGCGGAGCUCUACCAACUGAGCUAUAUCAACCCGAGCCAAGUGGAGCAUGCAUGGACAAUCUUAAUAAUGUACUAACUUGCUAGGAGCCAUAUUAUUUAUAUUAUAUUUAGGAACCAACUAAGGGACUCUUACA
rnacentral:lncRNA from 1 species